rnacentral:rRNA from 1 species
AAAGAAAAUAACAAUGAUUCCCUUAGUAACGGCGAGUGAAGGGGGAAAAGCUCAAAUUUUAAAUCUGCUAGGUUUUACUUAUCAGAAUUGUAAUUUGAAGAAGCGUUUUCCGCGUCUCGGUUGGCCCAAAUCCUUUGGGAUGAGGUAUCAUGGAGGGUGAGAAUCCCGUUCGGUUGACCUCAUGACGCUCUACGAUACGCUUUCUAAGAGUCGAGUUGUUUGGGAUUGCAGCUCAAAAUGGGAGGUAAAUUUCUCCUAAGGCUAAAUAUCGGCGAGAGACCGAUAGCGAACAAGUACCGUGAGGGAAAGAUGAAAAGAACUUUGAAAAGAGAGUAAAAUAGUACGUGAAAUUGUUGAAAGGGAAACGAUUGAAGUCAGUCGUACCGACGAGAAAUCAACUUAUCGUGUGCGAACUUGUGGGCGUGCGUGAGUUUCGGCCUCGCUGUUUGCAUGUUUGUGCGCUUUCGGUGUACUUUUUCGUAUGGUAGGCCAACGUCAGUUUCGAUCAUCAUAAAAUGACCGGCGGAAUGUAGCUUCGACCUCGGUUGAAGUGUUAUAGCCUCUGGUAGAUGUGGUAAUUGGGACUGAGGAUUGCAACGAAUACCCUUUGGGCUAUCCGUCUGAUCUCUGAAAGUUGCUCAGGUGCCGAAAGCUUGCUUACGGUCAUCUAAGUUAACGGUCAAUAGGUUAGAACGUGAUUACAUUCGUUAAGGACGUUG